GACGAACGCUGGCGGCGUGCUUAACACAUGCAAGUCGAACGAUGAAGCCCUUCGGGGUGGAUUAGUGGCGAACGGGUGAGUAACACGUGGGCAAUCUGCCCUUCACUCUGGGACAAGCCCUGGAAACGGGGUCUAAUACCGGAUACCACUCCUGCCUGCAUGGGCGGGGGUUGAAAGCUCCGGCGGUGAAGGAUGAGCCCGCGGCCUAUCAGCUUGUUGGUGGGGUAAUGGCCCACCAAGGCGACGACGGGUAGCCGGCCUGAGAGGGCGACCGGCCACACUGGGACUGAGACACGGCCCAGACUCCUACGGGAGGCAGCAGUGGGGAAUAUUGCACAAUGGGCGAAAGCCUGAUGCAGCGACGCCGCGUGAGGGAUGACGGCCUUCGGGUUGUAAACCUCUUUCAGCAGGGAAGAAGCGAAAGUGACGGUACCUGCAGAAGAAGCGCCGGCUAACUACGUGCCAGCAGCCGCGGUAAUACGUAGGGCGCAAGCGUUGUCCGGAAUUAUUGGGCGUAAAGAGCUCGUAGGCGGCUUGUCACGUCGGAUGUGAAAGCCCGAGGCUUAACCUCGGGUCUGCAUUCGAUACGGGCUAGCUAGAGUGUGGUAGGGGAGAUCGGAAUUCCUGGUGUAGCGGUGAAAUGCGCAGAU
rnacentral:rRNA from 1 species